UCUUUUUAAAUAGUAACUAUAUUAUCUGUCCUAAUGGAAAACUAAUUAUGACUAUGUGGGGAAAAAAGGGUAGUUUUCAACUCUAAUUUUACUGAAUAAUUUCAAAAUUUCUUUCCUGCACUAUUCACUAAUUUCUAUUGGUUAAAACUAAGCAGCAGAUUUUUUUUAUUGCUACCUUUCAAAUAUUUCUAUCUUUAUGAAGAGUCUGAAGUGACAAAAUAUGAAACCUAGAAAGGAAAAAAAUGGAGAACAUAGACAUUUCAUUAGUAUAUUAGAUGAAGUAUAGUAUGAAGAACCAGAUCAUAAAAUGAACUUUUUAUUUUCUAACAAAACAAAUUCUAAGGUAAGCACAUUUAACUACAGAUGCACCUUAAAACAAGAAGAAACGAAGAAAUGCUAAUAUGUUGUAUGAAGAAAUUAGGAUGCAGUUAAGAGAAAAAAAGGAAUAUAAUGAAGUUUAAAUGAAACAGCAACUUGAACUCACUCUCAAAACACUAAACAUGGAAUUAAGGACUGUGAAAAAUAAUCAGAACCAGGCAGUUGUGAGACAACUUCAAUAAGAACUGGCAG
rnacentral:lncRNA from 1 species